AACCCAUGCAUCGGACAUUUUCGCAGUAAUUCUUUAAAUCUUUUCCAAGUUUCAUACUGUGUUUCAUCUUUUUAUUACUGAAAAUACGUGAUGUCAUUUCUAAGCUU
rfam:Gossypium hirsutum cultivar TM-1 chromosome 10, whole genome shotgun sequence